AACGAACGCUGGCGGCGCGCUUAACACAUGCAAGUCGAACGAGAAGGCGUAGCAAUACGCUUGUAAAGUGGCAAACGGGUGAGUAAUGCAUGGAUCAUCUACCCUAGGGUGGGAAUAACUCCUCGAAAGGGGAGCUAAUGCCGACAUGUGCAACAUCUUCGCAAGCGGGUGUUGGAAAGCCGUUCCGAGGGAACGGCGCCCAAGGAUGAGUUCAUGUCCUAUCAGCUUGUUGGCGGGGUAACGGCCCACCAAGGCUACGACGGGUAGGCUGGUCUGAGAGGACGACCAGCCACACUGGCACUGCGACACGGGCCAGACUCCUACGGGAGGCAGCAGUGAGGAAUAUUGCGCAAUGGGCGAAAGACCUGACGCAGCGACGCCGCGUGGGGGAGUGAAGGGCC
rnacentral:rRNA from 1 species